rnacentral:rRNA from 1 species
UUUUAUUCAAUAUACAAAUUGGAGAGUACGAGCAAUAGCUUAAAAACUAAAGAAUAUGGCGGUGUUUUAUUCAAUCAGGGUGACAUGUAUCUUAAUUUGAUGGUCCACGGUUUUUAAACCUGACUUUGAAAUUCAGCAUGUGUACUGCCGUUUUACAUAGUUUUAAAAAAUUGUGUAUAAUAUAUGGAUUCCUCAUAUAGUUAGUCAGGUCAAAGUGCAGUCUAUAGUCAGGCGAGAUUGUGUUACAUUUAUUUAAACAUUCAAUUUAUUGAUUUAAAUUUUGAUAAAAAGAAGAACUUGAUAGUAAUUAGAUUGAUUUAAUUUAAUGAAAAGGAUUUUAACGCGUAC